AAAGGCUUAGUCCUGGCCUUGAAAUCAGUUACUAAUUAACAUACACAUGCAAGUCUCCGCAUCCCUGUGAGAACGCCCUUUAACCCCUAAUAGGGAUUAGGAGCUGGUAUCAGGCACAUUAUUAGCCCAAGACACCUAGCCUCGCCACACCCACAAGGGAAUCCAGCAGUGAUUAACAUUGACCAUAAGCGACAGCUUGACUCAGUUAAAUUUGUUAGAGCCGGCCAAUUUGGUGCCAGCCGCCGCGGCUAAACCAGAAGCUCAAACUGACUUCUAUCGGCGUAAAGAGUGAUUAAAGCAAUUAACCCCCUGGAAUUAAACCCUAACUGAGCCGUGGCACGCCUGUUAUAAAAGAGACUCAUAAACGAAAGUUAUUCCAAUCAAAAUCUACUUGAACUCACGACAGCUGAGAAACAAACUGGGAUUAGGUACCCCACUAUGCUCAGCCGUAAACUUUAAAUUACAUCAAACUCGCCUGGGAACUACGAGCCAAGCUUAAAACCCAAAGGACUUGACGGUACCCUACAUCCACCUAGAGGAGCCUGUCCUAUAAUCGAUAAUCCACGUUUAACCUCACCAUUUUUAGCUUAUUCAGUCAGUAUACUUCCGUCGUCAGCCUACCACAUGAGCGUCAGUGGGCCCAAUGUUUAUUCAACAAUACGUCAGGUCAAGGUGCAGCUAAUAAAAUGGAAAGAGAUGGGCUACAUUUUCUAAUCUAGAGCACACGAAAGACUACUGAUGAAAACUAGUCGGAAGGCGGAUUUAGUAGUAAAUAGGAACCAAAAAGUCCUUUUUAAUUCGGCCCUGGGGUGUGUACACACCGCCCGUCACCCUCCUCUUAUGCCAAAAAAUAGUUAUUAACCAAGAUUAGCUUUUCAGAUGAGGUAAGUCGUAACAUGGUAAGUAUACCGGAAGGUGUGCUUGGAAUCAA
rnacentral:ncRNA from 1 species